ACAAAAGUCGCAUUGUUUGCCAACAACAACGACCAGUGCAAAUACUAAGCUUAAGUUAUUCUCCUUCAUUUUGUUCGGAUAUGCUCGUAAUAU